UCUGCAUUUCAAAGAAGCUACCGAGGGCCUCUGACAGCCCCGUUCUGAGAACCACACUGUGAGCAGCUUCUGGUGGCUGACUCGGUCACUGUGACUGGCUCUGGUCCGGGCAUGAAACCCAACCUGGGCCGCUGAGGAUUGGCCCUGGGAUGCCAGCAGGAAGAAUCAAUCUGGAAGGCGAAGCUGUUCUUGUUCAUGGCAGUUGGGAAACUGGAAGCACACAUUCCUCGAGCCCCUACUCGGUGGUGUAAGGGACAGACUGGCCCAGAAAUGGACAGGACCAGCUUCCUGCUGGCGUCCAAGUUCCUGGACCCUGUAACACCUGAAGCGAGAUGCCCCCCUCCAGCUUCCCAGUUAUGUGGGCCAAUAAAUUCCCAAUUGUCUUCAACCGGCUUGACCUGGGGUUUCUCUUGCAUAUGACAAAGUAGCCCAGAGUGAUGCACACAGUUCUCGGCCUCCUCCGGGGCCUUCAAAGGCAACAGUAACAAGUUAUCUUCAAGCACCUGCCAUGUUUCCACACUUAUCUCAUUUAAUCACUGCCCUUCCCCUGUGGCUGGUUCACUGGGGGUGUCGCCACUCGCAGUUGGGGAACCGAGCCCAGAGAGGAGAAGUGACUUGCCCAAAGGCACGCAGCCGAAGCGGCAAACCGGGGGUUCUAUCCGCAGCUGUUGGCCUCUGGAGUUCUGCUGCCAACGUCCUUGCUCUGGCUGUUGUCGAAAGUGCUGGCUGCUGUCCAAGGGAGGCGUGUAAGAGGCCCGCUUGGAGAAGUGGGGGAGGGGAGGCCCGGGGAGAGGGCGGACGGGCCGGACGGCAAAAGGCAGAGUUUAUUUGGAGGAAACAGACAAGGAAAGGGGCACCUUUGUGCCUGGGCUGAGGAAGCUUUAUCAGAAAGCAUUCAUCCAUCCCUGCCUUCUUCCAACGCUGAGGCGCCGUUGGAUUCGCUACGGAAAUGUGCCUGCGGCUCUGCGGGGACCCAGGGCGCCAUGGCCCAGGGUCAUCUCUCACCCCCUGGCCCAGUGAUUGGAACACGUGACCCAACUCCAAUGAGACCCGGUCCUGAGACUUUGGUGGAACUCCUGGCAAACAGAAGCUCUUUGCGCACCGCAGUGGGCAUGCGGGCCUGCAGGGAGAGGCGCUCCCUGGCGCGGUUUGCACGUUUCUGUUGGACAGAGUCUUCCUGUGAAUAAACGCACCACGGAGGCAAGCAGAGCACAGAAAUGGAAAUAGAGAAGUUGGGUUCUGAUAGGCCGUCCAGGCGCUCAGAUCAGUGUUCCUGAAGCCAUUAUUACUUUUUAAAGAACCAAUGGGCUGUGUGUGUGUGUGUGUGUGUGUGUGUGCUUAGGCUAACUUGAGCCAGACUCUCUGUCCGUUGCAGGAGAGAGAUUUCUGACAUAACCAUGGCUGCUAUCAUUUCCACCAAAUCACAACCACAAUCAGGCCACCCUGGGCUGACGAGGAACGCCUAGCAGCCCAUGUGAGAAAGCUCCAGACUCCGGUUUUUCCUCACCCUCCACCUCUUCCAACUGCCCCUCAGAGACACCCAGGAGGACACUUCAAGGCCUGUGCCCCGUCUGGCCCAGGCAUCCGUUCCUCGUGCCCCCCCCCCCAUUUCCCUCCUGCCUCGAUCCCCUCAGGAAAAUCUCUCCAGGUUUUCCUUACUUUUGCUUUAUUUACUCAGUUUCCUUAGUCUCGGAGCUGAUGAGCCAAGGUUCCAGACAGAGGACCACGUCCGGUGGCGAGCAGCCUGGAGUACAAGGCAGGAGACUUCGUGUUGGUCACGACUCUGCCACUAGAUUUCUGAACUCUGGGCACCCUUGAGGCUGUUGGAGCUCGGUCAUAAAACCUUCCCAUUCUGAGGUCCAUAGCCCCAAAGGGCGUCCCUGGAAGUAGAAAGAAGGGAUCCCUCGUUGCUGAGAAGGUUGGAAGCGAUCAGGUGCGCCUGGAGUCAGAGGCCUAAAUAUUAUCACCACCUUCUCGUUUUGCCUCAGCCCUCCUUUCUCCAGUGCCUCCAUUUGUAGUUGCCGCUCAUGUGGUCACAGUUCUAGCAGCUCUGUAGACCGCGCGCUCCUGGGUUCUCAGCGUGGGGGAUGGGGCAAGGUAUCUGAGCAUCUCCAUCAAAAGCCCUACAUGACUCUAGCUGCCCUAACUUGGGGGAUGUGACGCCCUGAACCAGUUGCUGGCCCAGAAUGCCAUGUGCUGACUGACUUAGGCUGGUGUCAGAAGCUCCACCCCCAGUUCUGAAGGACUGGAGAUGGGAAGUCUCCCAAACCUAGGGGCUCUUGCUGGUAGGAAGGAGACAGCUUUGAGAUGCCCCGUUCCACAUUUACUAUGUGCCACACUCACUCAUCGUUUCAGUGAGUCUCACCACACCCUCGUCUAUAUAGGGUUGGAGGAACCCUUCUUUCAGGAAAGAAAACAGGUUCCGGGAGGUUAAAUGAUUUGCUUGAGGUCACACAGCACAUUCCAAAGUUACUUACAGAAUCCCAAACCCAAAGUCCACUUUGAGGUGGGGGAAGGAAGGCCAAGUUCUGGUUAAAAGUUAGUGCAUAGGAGAAAACAAAGAGGCGAACUAAAAGAGAAAUUCCACAGAGAGUAAAUCGUGCUCUGCACAGGGACGUUUGCUAGAAUUCUGGGGAAUAAGGCGUGCACUCUCUCUCUCUCUGUCUUCUGGAACCAGCCAACAGGGAAGACAUGAGCCUGGAGCUGCCAGACACAUGGGAAGGGCGCCCGAGGGAGAAGGCAGCAGAAAGGGCUACUGGGAGUGCUGGAGCCUUCCUCCCCGCGGAGCGCUCCCGAGCCCAGCCUUCCGGCUCCCGCCCGCCGUGCGGCCUCCACGCCUGCCCCUGCCUCCAGGUCUCUGUUCUCCCUCUCCGGGGUGCCUGGAGCUCUGCACAUCCUCAGGGGCCCCAAGCUCCUGUCACUGGGAUCUCAGAUCAAGUUCCCCUUCUCCGAGCCCUUCCUGUCCAUUCCCUGUAAUCUCGGGCCCUCCCAGUCACCCGAUAUCCUGCUACCCCACUGAAUGGGGAUCAUCAGCUUCGAUCUUUUCCUGUGUUCAGCGUCUGUCUUUGUGCUCCCCAGACUGGUAGCUGCCCUCCUCACCUCUGUGGCUCCGGGGCCUGGAGCUUGACAUGGAGUCCAUGCCUGGCAAGUAUUGUCAGAAUGAACCGAGUAAGAGAAAGAGCCUAAGACAAGCUGGCCAGCCUCUUAUGUGACAAGUUCCCUUCCGCCACCCCCCGACCCCCAUCCUUGCCAUCCUAGCAAGUGGUACCCGACCGGCCCCUGGCCCGGUGGGGGGGUGGUGGUGUUGGUGGUGGUGGUGGUGUUGGCGGGGAGCAUUGUCUAAAGGGGAGAGCAAACUGGCGGCCCACCGCAGCGUUUAAAUGCUUUUCUUUUUUUUUAUUGUGGUAAAAAAAAAAAAAGCACACAUAACAGAAAAUUCAACCAUCUAGGCAUUUCUCAGGGUACAAGUUGAAUUGUGUUAAGUGUAUUCACGUCGCCGUGCAACAGAUCUGUAGAACGUUUUCUUCUUGCAAAACUAAAACUCUGUGUGCAUUAAACAACACCUUCCCAUGUCCCCCCUCCCCCAGGCCCUGGCAGCCACCCGACUGCUUUCUGUUUCUAUGCGUUUGACUACUUUAGGUGCCUCGCAUAAUUGGAAUCGUGCACUGACUUUUUGUGUCUGGUUUAUUUCACUUAGCACGUCCCUAAGGUUCAUCCGCGUUGUAGCAGGUGACACGGUUUCCAUCCUUGCUAAGGCUGAAAGCUAUUCCACUGUGUACGUACACACUCAUCCCUUGGGGGACUCCUGGGCUUGCUUCCACCUCUCGGCUGUUGUGAAUGAUGCUGGUAAUGAACACAGCUUGUACCGGGACGUGAAGCAGAGGAUGUGCGUGCGAAGAUUGGCUUGGAGCGUUGAUCUGCGGUGGCCUCUUCACUCGAGACAUCAAAACACGUGUUCUGCUCUCUACCACCCCCCCCCAGAAGCAGCUGGGAGUGGAGACGCAGAGCCCAAACCGCCGGUUCAAAGCGCUGUGCCAGUGGCUGGGACUCAGUCUUCGACACGACCGAAACCUCACCAGUUUGGACCGCAUUUCCCCAAACCCAGCUCGAUGGUAUCUUCAGAGGCUUGGGGAGGCAGAGUCAAGACACUGGUGUUCAGCAGGAGGACAAGGUUCCACGGUCUUCUGCUCUCGGGUUGUGGGGACCGCCCUCCCGGCUCCAUACUCGGGACCCCUGUCCUCAGAUGCUGGAAGGUGAGGCGCGGGCGCCGCUGAGAGUGGGGCCUUGAGAAACACCAGGGGUGGCCGCGGGAGAGGCGCUCGUGGGGACCUUGACCCCAGGUCCCUGGGGCGGGAAGUGAGAGCUGGCCGAGUGUUCACGGAACAGGCCGAAACGUGCAACAUUUCAACAACACUUCAAGAACACUCCUUGACCUGCAGUGGGUGGGCUCGGUCCUAAGUGCCUUCUAAGCAGCACUUCCGUUAAUCCUCCCAAGAGCCCUUGGAGGCAGGACUAGUGUCCUCCGCACUUGGCCAUCAAGGGCAAGGAGCGGCAGAGAGGUUAAUUUAAACGGCUCGCCUGGAGCACCUGGGUGGCUCAGUCGGCACAGGUCAUGAUCCUGGGGUCCUCGGAUGGAGCCCCUCAUCGCAU